AUCCAGCUGACGAGUUCCAAAUAGGACCAAAACGCGCAUCCUGGAU
rfam:Schistosoma mansoni, Puerto Rico, WGS project CABG01000000 data, contig: 0049